rnacentral:rRNA from 1 species
UACGUAGGUGGCAAGCGUUGUCCGGAUUUACUGGGCGUAAAGAGCGCGCAGGCGGCCAACUAAGUCAAACGUGAAAUCCCUCGGCUUAACCGGGGAACUGCGCUUGAUACUGGAUGGCUUGAGAUUGGGAGAGGGAUGCGGAAUUCCAGGUGUAGCGGUGAAAUGCGUAGAUAUCUGGAGGAACACCGGUGGCGAAGGCGGCAUCCUGGACCGACACUGACGCUGAGGAGCGAAAGCCAGGGGAGCAAACGGG